rnacentral:rRNA from 1 species
GUCUUUUAGCAAUUUAUUAAAAGUCUAACCUGCCCAUUGAAAUAUAUUAAAAGGCUGCGGUAUUUUGACCGUACAAAGGUAGCAUAAUCAUUAGUUUUUUAAUUGAAAGCUUGUAUGAAUGGUUGAAUGAGAUAUAAACUUUUUUAAUUAAAAAAUUUAGAAUUUUACUUUUUAAUUAAAAGGUUAAAAUAAUAUUAAAAGACGAGAAGACCCUAUAGAGUUUUAUAUUUUAUAUAAUAAUAUAAUAAAAAAAUAUUAAUUUUAUUAUUAUAAAAAAUAUUUUGUUGGGGUGAUAAUAAAAUUUAAUAAACUUUUAUUUAAUAAUAACAUUAAUAUAUGAAUAUUUGAUCCACUAAUAGUGAUUAAAAAAUUAAAUUACCUUAGGGAUAACAGCGUUAUUUUUUUUUAAGUUCUUAUUAAUAAAAAAGAUUGCGACCUCGAUGUUGGAUUAAGAUUAAUUU